rnacentral:rRNA from 1 species
CAAUAGCGUAUAUUAAAGUUGUUGCAGUUAAAAAGCUCGUAGUUGGAUUUCUGGUAGGAGCGACCGUGCCGAACUUGAUUGUUCGAGUAUUGUGUUGUCUUCAGCCAUCCUCGUGGAGAACUUUUCUAACAUUAACUUGUUGGGAUUGGGACCCGCGUCGUUUACUGUGAAAAAAUUAGAGUGUUUAAAGCAGGCAUUAGCUUGAGUACAUUAGCAUGGAAUAAUAAGAUAGGACUUUGGUACUAUUUUGUUGGUUUGCAUACCAAAUUAAUGAUCAACAGGAACAGUUUGAGGAUAUUCGUAUGAACAUGUCAGAGGUGAAAUUCUUGGAUUUUGAUCAGACGAACUACUGCGAAAGCAUUUAUCAAGGAUGUUUUCAUUAA